rnacentral:snRNA from 1 species
AUCUUUGCGCAGUGGCAGUAUCGUAGCCUAUGAGGUUUAUCCGAGGCGCGAUUAUUGCUAGUUGAAAACUUUACCCAAUACCCCGCCUGGACGACCUGAAAUAUAGUCGGCUGUGGCAAUUUUUGACGGUCUCUAAGGAGA